UAGCAAUUGGAAAUCCCUGGCAAUGUGAUUUACAAUCGAAAUAAAAUCCCAUCUCCAGGAAUCCCCAUCCAUCA